AUCUUUCUAGUACUAAAGUAGUAUAAAUGACUUCCAAUCAUUUGGUCUUGGUUAAAGCCCAAGGAAAGAUA
rnacentral:tRNA from 1 species